UUAAGGUCUAAUCUGCUCAAUGAAUUUUAAAUAGCCGCAGUAUUUUGACUGUGCAAAGGUAGCGUGAUAAUUAGUUUAUUAAUUGUAAACUUGUAUGAAGGAUUGGACGAGAAAGUUUCUGUCUCAUUUUAAUUUAUAUUGAAUUUUACUUUUAAGUUAAAAGGCUUAAAUUAAGAUAAAAGACGAGAAGACCCCAUAGAGUUUUAUUUUUAUAAAAAUUUAGGAUUAAAAAUUUAAUUAAAAAAUUAGUUGGGGUGACUUAAAGAUUUAAAUAACUCUUUAAAUUUAAAAUCAUUGAUUUAUGAAUUAAAAAUCUGAUAUUUCAAUUUUAAAUUAAGUUACCUUGGGGAUAACAGCGUA
rnacentral:rRNA from 1 species